GUUCAGUUUUCAAGGUGAAGGUGGAGCUAUGAGUGUCUACAAGGGUUCAAAGGUGGUUCUGAAAGGUAUUAAAGUUGGUACCUUAUAUAUUCUUCAGGGGUCUACUGUGACAGGUUCUGCUGCUGUUGCAUCAUCUGAGAUUCACAAGGAGGAGUUGACCAAGUUGUGGCAUAUGAGACUUGGGCACAUGGGUGAAAGAGGGAUGCAAAUUCGGUCAAAAAGGGAUCUUCUAUGUGGGCACAAGGUGCAGACCUAGAGUUUUGUGAACACUGUGUGUUUGGGAAGCUUCAUCGCAGCAAGUUUCCAAAGGCGGUUCAUACAACUAAAGGUACUCUUGAUUAUAUUCACUCUGAUUGUUGGGACCUUCCCGAGUUGCAUCUAUUGGAGGUCACAGGUAUUUUGUGCGAUGAUUGAUGACUAUUCAAGAAUGACUUGGGUGAUUAUAAUGAAGCACAAAAGUGAUGCCUUCAAUAAUUUCAAACAGUGGAAGGCUUUAGUGGAAAAUCAAGUUGAAAGGAAGGUCAAAAGGUUGCUGCGAACUGAUAAUGGUCUGGAGUUCUGUUGGUCUGAGUUCGAUGAUUCUGCAAAAAUGAAGGGAUUACUCGCCAUCAUAGUGUUAGAAACACGCCACAACAGAAUGGAGUUGCAGAACGCAUGAAUCAGACACUACUGGAGAGAGCAAGGUGCAUGCUCUCAAAUGCGAUGGCUAGGAGGUUUUUGGAGAAGCUGUAAAUACAGCUUGUUAUCUGAUCAAUCGGGGACCCCAUACAGGUAUUGACUGCAAGACAUCUUAUGAGGUGUGGUCUGGUAAGCCUGCAGAUUACUCUUUGUUGAGAGUUUUUGGUUCUACUGUUUAUUAUCAUGUAAAUGAGGGAAAACUACUAGAAGCUAGAGCUAAGAAGGGUGUAUUUGUGGGUUUUGGGAGUGGAGUUAAGGGCUAUAGAGUAUGGUCACCUUCUGAAAAUCGUGUUGUACUUAGUAGGAAUGUAAUAUUUGAUGAAAAUUUCAUGCUCAACUCUCCUGUGAAGUCUACUGUGGUGUCUGUCAGUGGAGAUGUUGAUAAACAGGUGGAGCUGCAAGUCACUCAGGCUGAGAGUGACACAACAAGAAUCCGCCUUUAUAGCGUCUGAAUUUAGCGUCCGACGAUGUAAGCGGACGGUAAAUUUAACAUUAGCGUCCGGUAAAGAACAGAUGCAAAUUAGCGUCCGCUUUUUGAGAUUUGGCGUCCGUUCUUUUAAACGGACGCUAAUUAGCGUCCGCGAAGUUAUAAUACCGUCCGAUUGACGGAUGCUAAAUAAGAGGUAUAAAAAAAAGUCCAGUCGACCAUACUAUCAACAAUAACCCACGCCUCUCUCUCUCUCACCCUCAUCUCACGUUUCUCUCUCUUCCUCACUCUCAUCUCACAUUUUCGUGCUCUUUCUUUCUUUCAGAUCUCACGAAAUCAGGUAUUUCUAUUCAGAUUUAACUAAUAAAUUUGUUAUUUUUUUUUAGUUUUGAUUGUUGAUUAUGUAGUUUAUUUUCUCGAUUUUCUUUAUUUUUUUUAAUUUCGUUUUGUGUUUUUUUGUUCUUGGGUUUUCGAUUUUUCCUAGAUCUGAAUUUCGUAAGAUUUUUUUUAAAUUUUUUUGUUUUUCGAUUUUUCUUAAUUUUUUUGAGUUUUCGAUUUUAUGAGAUUUUGAUUUUGUGUGUAUUUUCUCGAUUUUGAUUUUGGUUUUGUGUGUUUUUAUUUUUGGCUACUUGGUUUUAUUUUUUUUUGGCAUGAAUUUUCGUCUUUUUUGGAAAUCAGUUGUUCGUUUUUUUUUCGUUCUUCGCUUUUUAGGAAUCAAUCUGUAAAAUUUAUUUUCAAAUCAAUUUAGGGGUGGGUUAUUUUUGGGAAAAUAUCAGAUAUAGAUACAAAUUUACAGAAGAAUUCUGCUGAGUUUUAGUGGUUGAAGAUGAUAAAUAAUUUAUGGGUUUUCAAUGGAAUGAAGAUGAAAUUACCCAUCUUGUUGUUACUGUUGGUUCAUCUUCAGCUUCUUCUUCCUUGUUCUUCCCUUAAUUCUGAAGGGAUGGCUUUGUUGAGGUUUAAAGAAAGGGUGGUGAGAGAUCCCUUGAAUUCUCUUUCUAGUUGGAUUUCUGAAGAUGGUGAUUUAGAUCAUUGUUCUUGGUUUGGAAUCAAUUGUUCUGAUGGCAUUGUUGUUGUACUGUAUGUUUCUAACAUUAAUUCUCUCAAUUUUUAAUUUUUUUGUAUGAAUUCUGAAAAUGUUGCUGCAUUUAAUUUUGGAAAAAUAUUCAUGAUUUGGUUACUCAAAUUGGUUAAGUUUUAUCAUGUUUGUAGUUUGGUGGCUGGGUACAUGGUGGGCAGUAUGUGUGCAAUGCACUGCAAAGAGGUUUAGUAACAAGAAUCAUCAUCCCUUUUGUACACUGACAUGCAAUGUAAGGGAAUUAAAUUAUAAUCACUCACCUCUUCAAGCUAGGAACAUUAAAUUAAAAAGGUCAAAUGAUAUGCUUUUUCCUUUAGGACUGACUCGUAAGUAACUGAAAGAAAAUGGUUCUGGAUAUUCUAUGUUUGAUUUUGCUACAGGAAAGCUGAUUAUGCCCUCUUUCCCAUAGUAUUUUUACAUGCCACUUAUCAUUAUUAUAAGCAUAUACCUUGAAGUUUCUGCCUACUGUUCAGGAUGACGAAGAUCAGCAAGAUCCAGAUGAAAGAUGGGAUCCAGAUUCUGAUAUGGAGAUUGAAGAUCGUCCUUUAUCUGUUCGAAACAGAGUGAAGAGAGAGGUUGUGGAGCCUGAUGCUAAAGAUUCGGUAUGUUUCUUGCUAUCUAGUUUUUUUAAUGAGUCUGUGCUAUGGUUACUGUAUUUCAUGAUAUUCCUCCAUACCUUCUUUUGAUAAGCAAGAAUAUUUGGUUGAGAGGCAUGUACAUAAUUAUAGGGAAUUCAGUGUCUGGAAAAUAUUUUCGGAUUUAUUUAAAUGUCUGCUGAAUAUUAGCUGAAGUUCAUUACAGUUUUUCUUGUCAUUUUGAUGCACAACUUCUAUUUGGAUACCGAAUCUUUGAAAAGGACCUGUGGACAGUGUCUCUAGUAGGAUACUUGGAAUCAUUGAUGGUAUUUGCCGUCGAUGAUUUAUGGAGCAUUGCAAGGAAAAAUGAAAUUUAAGAAUACUAGUGAAGUUAUUACUCUGUUAUUUCAAACUAAUACUGUGUACCUCUUAAGAUAUUUGCUGACAUGUAUUUCUAGUUUUUAAUUACAAAGUAACUAUCAUG